CAAGAAUGAUAAGGAGGAAGGUAGGCAACCUUUAAAAAAAUUAAAUAUGUAUUUUAUUAAAAAUAACUACAUAUGCAUAUAUUUUUAUUAAAAAAUGUUACAAAUGUAUACAUAUACAUAUUGGGGCUUCUCAGGUGGAGCCAGUGGUAAAGAAUCUGCCUGCCAAUGCAGGAGACCCAGGUUCAAUCCCUGAAUCGGGAAGAUCCCCUGAAGUAGGAAAUGGCAACCCACUCCAGCAUUCUUGCCUGGAAAAUUCCAUGGGCAGAGGAGCCUGGUGGGCUGCAGUCCAUGGGGCCACAAAGAGUCACACACAAUUGAGUGAGCACGCACACACGUACAUGUAUAUUCAUACCAUGUGAUUUUUUAACCUUAAUAUGUAAAGUCUACAGAUGUAAUCUGAUCAUUUUUAUUGCCUUUCACUGCCAUGUGACCUGCUGUAAUAGAUGUCAAACACCAUCAGUUUCCAGUGGUGAAGGCUGAGAAAUACUGAACAUGCGUUGUCUCCUAGGGACCCUCUGAUGCCAGUCCUCAGUUGCAUUCAUGGUAACACUGGAGUGCUUCAACCAACCUGGCUGAAGGAUCUGAAUUGCGAGUCAGUGCAACAAUUUAUGGUUCAUCGCCUUGAACUUUCACAUUGUAAAAACAGACGAUUCAUCAAAGUUAUGUGCAUUUUUGACCUCAGUGAAUGAAGUGGAGGAAUGCAGUCCAGCAAGAGGCAGAGGAGAAGGCUGAAACCACAGGAAAGGAAGAAAAAGAAACCUUCUUCAGAAUUCCAUGGAUGGAGGGGUCUGGAGGGCUAUGGUCCAUGGGAUUGCAAAGAGUCGGACACGACUGAGCAACUAACACUAAACCUUCUUCAACAUGGGAAGAGCAGGAAACUGGGCCUCUGUAAACUUGAACUCCGGGAGUUGGCGAUGGACAGGGAGGCCUGGCAUGCUGCAGUCCAUGGGGUUGCAAAGAGUCAGACACGACUGAGCGACUGAACUGAACUGAACUGGCACAAACUGGCACAACUAUCCCCCAAUUAAAAAUAACAUUAUCCUCCAAUUAAAAAUAUAAAUAAAAAAACAAAACAGAAGCUGGUACA
ensembl:lncRNA